rnacentral:tRNA from 1 species
UGGACUGUCGCCAAGUGGUAAGGCAACGGACUUUGACUCCGUCAUCCCGCUGGUUCGAAUCCAGCCAGUCCAGCCA